rnacentral:rRNA from 1 species
UACGGGGGGGGCAAGCGUUGUUCGGAAUUACUGGGCGUAAAGGGCUCGUAGGCGGCCAACUAAGUCAGACGUGAAAUCCCUCGGCUUAACCGGGGAACUGCAUCUGAUACUGGCAGGCUUGAAUUCGGGAGAGGGAUGCGGAAUUCCAGGUGUAGCGGUGAAAUGCGUAGAUAUCGGGAGGAACACCAGUGGCGAAGGCGACUACCUGGCCUGUUCUUGACGCUGAGGCGCGAAAGCUAGGGGAGCAAACGGG